GCGCCCUUAGCUCAGUUGGAUAGAGCAACAGAUUUCUAAUCUGUGGGUCACUGGUUCGAGUCCAGUAGGGCGUG
rnacentral:tRNA from 2 species